rnacentral:lncRNA from 1 species
CCCUUCCGAGGAGGCGGUGCUGGGGCGGGCGCAGGACUGCAGGCUGGGGCUCCGCUCCCCGGCGGGAGCCCGCGCGUGGUUCCCAGCGAAGUCCCCGCGCGGCUGGGCCCAGCGUGAGUAUUCUCCGCCCGCUGUCCUCCCCCUGGAGGCGGCAGCGCCCGUUUAUUUGAGGCUUCUAAUGUGAGGAAAAACACGGAAUGACAAGUGUGGGAAAGAGCAAGCACUAAAUUACUGUCAGAAAAAUAAACGGAGUAGCACAGUGCUGCUCGGUGAUUUACGGGGGCAAUUAGUCACCACCCCACGGCGCUGCUGAGGACAGCACGGCAGCAGACAAGUCAGGCCCAUGAGGAAGAAGAGGCUUUGCACUGCUCUCCAGACAACUUUUCAAACAACAAGAGAGGAUAUUUGAGCACAUUAGGUUUUGUGUCUUCAUUCUGGGUACCUACUCUUCAUAUUAUUCUACCAACUUAAUACAUAAACAUAUUUUUAGCACAAUAUGAACCUGUUCUAUGUGUGUUUAAAAGCCUCCAGCAGCAACUUUUUUCUCUCCCACUGUCCAAAGUUGGGUUUUCCCCAUCCCUUAAAAAACAAAACAAAAAAACCUUUCUUCACUCCAAAUUGUCCCCCUGGUGUGUGGUUUUGGUCUUUCUCAUUACUUCUUGCAUCUUGCUACAUGUUCUGCAUUUGCUCAGAGCCACUGGGUGCUAAGGAAUUUGGUCUGCUGCUCCUCUGGGAAAGUUUGGUAAGCUGGUACAAGGAGGUGAUGAACAAGGCUAAAUGAAAAUCAUACAUAAACUUCCCAAUAUUUGUGAACAUGUUCUUUAACAUACCAUACAUAGUUUCUAUGUAUAUGUAACAUAGCAAAACAAACUUGCUAAGGUAUAAUUAAUUGGUAUGCAUGCCUUCAUAAAUAUUCACCAUCAGAAGAAACCUAGAAUGAAAGGUUGUGAAAGAACCCAGGAAUGAGAAAGACUUUAUUGACUAAAGGCCAUGUCUAUGUAGGGGCAACAAUGAAGCUGUGGGUGAGCAAAUGAAGCUUCAUCAGGAGUUUAGUAUCCUUAUGUAGCAUUACCUAAGAAUGCUACCAUAGUAAAUUUCUGAAGUACUUUACCUGUUACAAAGAACGUUUGUAAUCUCCUUUUCUUAUUUGAUCUUGCCCUGGCUUUAGUCAGGAACACCUGCUCAGUUAGAAAUGUAUUCGGUGGGUAUGUACGCAGUUGGAGAAUGUGCCCCAACACACGCCGCCUUUGGCCUGUAUGUUGGAGUCCUAGAGAGGCAGACAAUGUUGAUGAGCUUGGUACCAGCAUGGUGCGCCAUUCAUCCGGACACAAUUUCUGAUAAAGAGGGUCACAACUGGGAGAAACCUCAGAUUCUACUUGCUUCUCUUCUCCACGUUAUUAGACUUUUUUUCCCCUCUUGAAUUUUAUAAGCACACUCCUUUUAAAACAAUUAAUUAAUAACGAGCACUGGGAUUUGAUGUAGAAUUGCGUAUUUGUAACUGCAAUGGCACUGGUUUUCAACUACCCUGUAACAAGGAAGCAAUUCUAACCAGCAAAAGAGGCAGACGUGUUUCUGUGCAACAUCACAGGCGUGUGAAAUUGUUCAGAUAUUGAGAUAUCAGGAGUGAUAUAAAUUGGAAAUUUAACCAAAAAUAUUUUCCAUCAGUGAACAAAGCCGAUUUUAAAGUGCCUCUUGCAUUUUUCAGAUCUUUCUCUUUCUUUUUCCCAAAGUCACAUUGUAGUUUCUGAUAAAGGAACACACUGGGAAAACUAAGCACAUAUUUAAUCAAUGAAAUUUAAGGUGUAAAAAUUCUGCAUUUCUGACAAAUUUAAUGUUCACUUUUUUCUUGAUUUAAAUAGAGCAUUCUAAAAAUAUUACCCCUAUAGGGGAUAAAUUUUUAUAUGCAUGUUAUUUUUCUUUACAAAGUGUGGGCUAGUAAAGAGUGAAAAAGACCUUGGCUAUUGUACUUAUUUCUUGAAAGAAAUAAUAGCAUCUUAAUGACUGGAUUCAAAUCUCUGCUUAUCACACAACUUCCGUACAGUUCAAAGAGAGGACUUGGAUUGAAUGAAAACAGAGAGCUGGGGCUUCCUACAUUCCCCUGUGUUUGUGUUCAUACAGAAUAUUUAUGCAAUAUUCUGACUUGGCCAUAAUCUGUAAUUCCUGCCUAUUAUUCUCAGUUGCAACUAUAAAUUCUAGAUUAAUGGUUAUAAUUUUGGUAAGGCAUACAUGAAAAGUUAUAUGUUCCUGCUUGAAAGGAGGAUCAUUAAAUAUUCAUUAUUACCACUCAAAUUA